GUGCUUGGCCAGCAGAUGGCGGAGGUGUACUGCUAAACGCUACCUCUCCGCGGAAAAUCGGAUGCUCCCAAGGAACCUGUGAAAGCUUAAUGGGCAGAUUUGGGAAGGCAGAUUCACCGCACAGCAGUGGAGCUUGCAAAGGCUCUGGUAGCUGCUGAGGCAGUGUAAUGUAGAAUUAAUCAGGCACGAAAGUCCCCGGUUCUGCUUGGCGGGCGGCAGCGGGGGGAGGGAGCGGGCAACCGAUGGCCGGGAUGCUGGCGGCUGGAACGCGCGGGCGGUCAGCAACUGGGAGUUGCAGCAGUGGGCUGUGAGCAGCACGUGUGGCGUUGCCAGGCCUAAUCCAAAAAUUGGAACCAAUACCUGACACUGCUUGGGUGACCAAAACCAGAGACCAGACAGCUCAGAAACAUAAGGAAAUUCAAGCAAAUACAGAGAAACAGACCUUGAAACAGAAGCCUUUAAAUUGGAUGUCUCCAUCAAAUCCAUCCCCUUAGAACUCAGAGAACUUCAAUGCAAGAGGAGAUGGAAAAAGUGUAAGAGAAAUGGAGGGGAUGGAAGACACCAGGAGAACAAGGCUCUCUAAAUUAACUGAGUAAAACUCAUAUGAACUUAGAGACUGAAGCAGCAAGCACAGAGCUUAUAUUGGUCUGCCCCAGG